rnacentral:rRNA from 1 species
GACGAACGCUGGCGGCGUGCUUAACACAUGCAAGUCGAACGGAAAGGCCCUGCUUUUGUGGGGUGCUCGAGUGGCGAACGGGUGAGUAACACGUGAGUAACCUGCCCUUGACUUUGGGAUAACUUCAGGAAACUGGGGCUAAUACCGGAUAGGAGCUCCUGCUGCAUGGUGGGGGUUGGAAAGUUUCGGCGGUUGGGGAUGGACUCGCGGCUUAUCAGCUUGUUGGUGGGGUAGUGGCUUACCAAGGCUUCGACGGGUAGCCGGCCUGAGAGGGUGACCGGCCACAUUGGGACUGAGAUACGGCCCAGACUCCUACGGGAGGCAGCAGUGGGGAAUAUUGCACAAUGGGCGGAAGCCUGAUGCAGCAACGCCGCGUGCGGGAUGAUGGCCUUCGGGUUGUAAACCGCUUUCGCCUGUGACGAAGCGUGAGUGACGGUAAUGGGUAAAGAAGCACCGGCUAACUACGUG